rnacentral:lncRNA from 1 species
GAUUUUGAUUUUGCAGCCAAGGUUCAGAACUCCUGGGAGGAGAAAUGUUUCUCUUUAGAAUGGGAAGAUCUCAGGUAGAAUGAAGCUUAAAGUGCAAAAGAUUGCCUGGAUAUGUUCAGCAAGUCUAUUCAUCAUGGCUUAAUUGUUCACGAUGCACCAGGCACUGUGUGUGGAACUGGGUAUAAAGAAGAAAGGGACAGGAUACCUGAUUACAGGUAUCAGGAAGCUGAAGGAAGAGACCUGUGAACAACCAACAGGACAUCAAAAUGCUGGCCAAUGCCUAUGCCAGGGGCGUUGUUGGACCUAAACUCUUCAGAGUUCCUAAGGGGAUCUCUUCUAGCUCUGAGCCCAUGCCAAACUGAAUAUAUUUGAAGGAACUGAGCGGAGCUCCCACUUCAAGUGUCAGGGUCAGAGGAGCGGUGGUGAAGUGCCUCAGUACAUCACUUGAGUGGAAGAGCUUUCCAGUUAAUAUACUUAGGAUUUACAUGAGGUUUAUCUCCAGCCAGUGUGAGAUCUGAAAGCAGUUUCAACAGAGCAGAUUCAAGAAAUAAAAGACCAGACCCCGCACUAUGACAAAAGGGAGAUUAUCCAAGUAGGUCUAAUUGCAUCACACAGGCCCCAACAUGCAGAGGAAGAAGGAGAAAGUCAGGGAGAUUUGAAGUGUGAAAAGAACUUGAUGCGCGUUGCUGGCUUUGAAGAUAAAAAGAGCAAUAUUAGAAGAAAUGCACUUGGCCUUAAGGAGCAGAGCCUUACCCUCACCCCUCUGCCCUCAACUGACAGCAAGUAAGGAAAUGGGGACCUUAGUCCCGCUGAAGCCUGGAACUGUAUUCUGCCAAUAACAUAAAUGAGCAUGGAAGCGAACUCUUCUCCAGAUGCUCUAGAAAGGACUAGCCCAUCUGAGCCUUUGAAUUCACCCUGGUGAGACUCUGAACAGAGGAACCUGUUGAGCCUACCUGGAUUUCUGACCUACAGAAACUUCGAGAUAACAAACGGAUGUUGUUCUAGACUACUAAGUCUUUGCGAAUUUGUAUGCAGCAUAGGAAACCAGUACAGUGAGAGAACAGUCAACAUACAGCGCUGUCAUUUUCUUGUUUCUGAUGAUCAGAUGAGACAACUGUAAAGCUUUCUCUUGGGAACAAGGGAUUAAGAUAGGCUCUCAAGAGACUUUUCAUUCUACACAUAAAGAUGGCAAAAUAAAGUUUUAUUUUUAGUGCUGUGAAUGGUCCUCAGUAUCUAUGCUAAUUUGAAGUCUUGUUUCCAAUAUCUAAGUGAUAACAAAAUUUAGUUGAAUAUUGUGACAUUUAUAUUGAAUGAGGUUAGUAUAUUGUGAGGUGGGGACCAAAGAUGACACUUUGCAACUCUUGGUUUUAAAAUCAGUUGACAGAACAUAGAUAUGCCUGAUAAAGUUGUCAAAAAUCUCUUCCUUUGAAAGUGGGCACUAUGUAUCAAGUAAGACUGAAUAAUAAAAAAUAUUAUCAUGAAAAGAAAAAACUGAGCAGUUGUCCAACUUAGGGCCAAACUAUAUUGAAUGUCUCAUCUUAAAAAUUGAAUGAUUUUUGUCUGAGUUUCUGUAAUUUAAUAUAGAUCCAAGCACACACAUACACACACACAAACAACUUGAAAUAUUUUAAGCUAACUAUUCUUUCUGCAAGUGUGUAUAUGCUGUUUAAUUGUGAUGUGUUCUUAGUGAAAUGCUAAUGUAAGAAAAAGAAAGAUUUUCCCGAGUGGCUUACUUUAAUAAAAGUAAAAUGAAUUUCAUAUAGAU